AACCGAAGGUCAGGCCACCCUUGCGCCCUGCUCUCCCCGGCCGCGCCUUCGUCGCGCGGGCUCAGCCCCCCCGAGUCUCGGUCACUUCUGCCCCAUUUCAGGACCGAACCCGGCGCUUCCCGGAAUCGUAGUGUUGCCGGCCGCGUGGACACGUUCUCCCCUUACGCCUCCCCCAGAAAAAAACCGGCAUCCUUCACUAGGUCAGGACACCCGAGCCACCUCCACCCAUCGCCCCAAAGCGCCUUUCCCGGUGGGGGCCGAAGUCCCCGCGCUCCACCAGCUUCUCGGGUAGGGGGCCCCGGGCGUUCGUCCGCCACCCGCUCGGGAAGCCUUGGCCAGGUCCUUGAGCGCCAGUUUCCAGGUCCCAGGUCCGGCAACCAGGGAGCUCCCGGCCUGGGCGCCGCUAAAACCCGGAGAGGCCGCGCCCGGGACAGCCAUGCUCGCUAUCCCCUUGCUGCGACUGGCUCAGCCACGAUUCACUGCCGAGCCGAGGUUUGGCCAGCCCAGCAGAGAGCGGCCUGGACUCGCCAGGGAGACCAGGGACGCGACGCCAGAGCCCCGCACGACACGGGGAUCGGGGCGCACGGCGGGCAGAGCAGAGGUGAGGCUCCAGGCCCGGCCCCAGCGGCCCCAGCGGAUCCCUGCGCCUCUCGGCUCCGCCUCCGGCCCUGGCCUCUUCCCCUGGCCCGGGUCGGGUCUUCCACUCCACUGUUUGGCUCGGAGAGGACGAAGACGAGUUCGGUGCGCAGGGGGCCGGCAGCGGCCAUAAAUCACCACGCGGGCCCUCCUUCCCGCAGCUCACGCGCGGGGGCUCCCGGCCGGCUUCGCGUCCCGGGCCGCACCGGGCGCCCUGCUCUCCCGGUCAGCGCCUGGGGGACCCGAGACUGCGCGGGGAACCUGGUCAGCAGUUUCCCCGUUCGCCAAAGACAGGGACCGGCCUCGCCGACUCGGUGCCACCAUCAUGCAUCCUUGCGGUCGCCAGACCCCGAAGCAACCCGGGCCUCACCGGAUCGCUGCCUGGGCACAGGAAUUAUUCAUGGCUGGUUUCGGUUCUCUUCUGGCGACGACCGCAUCUUCGUACUCAAGGCACAGAUUACGCGUCAGCUCAAUUCGCCAGCGGCCGGAGGCUGCCUCCAAGCACCGAGCAGGACGGGCGGGAUGCUGUGCAAGCCGCGUCCAGCUGCAGGCGGCGGAGGCCUGAACGGGUCAUGGUCCCCGAAGUCACUUGGGACAGGGGACGUGGAUGGAAUAUAA
rnacentral:lncRNA from 1 species